UACGAAGGGGGCUAGCGUUGCUCGGAAUCACUGGGCGUAAAGGGUGCGUAGGCGGGUCUUUAAGUCAGGGGUGAAAUCCUGGAGCUCAACUCCAGAACUGCCUUUGAUACUGAAGAUCUUGAGUUCGGGAGAGGUGAGUGGAACUGCGAGUGUAGAGGUGAAAUUCGUAGAUAUUCGCAAGAACACCAGUGGCGAAGGCGGACUCACUGG
rnacentral:rRNA from 1 species